rnacentral:rRNA from 1 species
UACGUAGGGGGCUAGCGUUGUCCGGAGUCAUUGGGCGUAAAGCGCGUGUAGGCGGUCCGGUAAGUCCGCUGUGAAAGUCGGGGGCUCAACCCUCGGAUGCCGGUGGAUACUGUCGGGCUUGAGUACGGAAGAGGCGAGUGGAAUUCCUGGUGUAGCGGUGAAAUGCGCAGAUAUCAGGAGGAACACCAAUUGCGAAGGCAGCUCGCUGGGACGUUACUGACGCUGAGGUGCGAAAGCGUGGGGAGCAAACAGG